rnacentral:rRNA from 1 species
UACAGAGGCCUCGAGCGUUAGGCGGAAUCACUGGGCUUAAAGCGUGUGUAGGCGGAUUGGUAAGUACCUUGUGAAAUCCCACAGCUUAACUGUGGAACUGCUCGGUAAACUGCUGAUCUUGAGCCACUCAGGGGCUACCGGAACAAAUGGUGGAGCGGUGAAAUGCGUAGAUAUCAUUUGGAACGCCAAUGGUGAAAACAGGUAGCUGGGGGUGUGCUGACGCUGAGACACGAAAGCCAGGGGAGCAAACGGG